rnacentral:lncRNA from 1 species
AGGAUGUAAACAUGCAAAUGCCGUUUAUGGUUGUGGGCCAUGGCCCAUGUGGUAUUCAUGGUAACGUUGCUGUUGCGAAAUUAGCGUGACAACAAAUUUUGUUUCGGGACGUUUGUCUGGAAAGAAAGUUUCAAUAGAGCAGCGGUGUCAAUGGGUAGGACUAGGUCUAAUGAUUUAAUAUCAUUAACCUCUAUAUAUUUCUCAAAAAUGGGUA